rnacentral:rRNA from 1 species
AGGACGAACGCUGGCGGCGUGCUUAACACAUGCAAGUCGAGCGGUAAGGCCCUUUCGGGGGUACACGAGCGGCGAACGGGUGAGUAACACGUGAGCAAUCUGCCCUUCACUUCGGGAUAAGCCUCGGAAACGGGGUCUAAUACCGGAUAUGACUGCGCCAUGCAUGUGGUGUGGUGGAAAGUUCUGGCGGUGAGGGAUGAGCUCGCGGCCUAUCAGCUUGGUUGGUGGGGUAAUGGACCUACCAAGGCUUACGGACGGGUAGCCGGCCUGACGAGGGUGACCCGGCCACGCGUGGACGUGACGACACGGCCAGACUCCGUACGGGAGGACAGCGUAGGUGGGUAAUAGUUAGGGAACAGGUAGGAGAAACGGACCU